GGCGGGGUAGCCAAGUGGUAAGGCAGGGGACUGCAAAUCCCUUAUCACGGGUUCGAUUCCCGUCCCCGCCUC
rnacentral:tRNA from 1 species